rnacentral:rRNA from 1 species
GUGAGGAAUAUUGGUCAAUGGGCGGAAGCCUGAACCAGCCAAGUAGCGUGCAGGAUGACGGCCCUAUGGGUUGUAAACUGCUUUUAUACGGGGAUAAAGUGCGCCACGUGUGGAGCAUUGCAGGUACCGUAUGAAUAAGGACCGGCUAAUUCCGUGCCAGCAGCCGCGGUAAUACGGAAGGUCCGGGCGUUAUCCGGAUUUAUUGGGUUUAAAGGGAGCGCAGGCCGGAAGCAAAGAGUGCCGUGAAAUGUAGAUGCUCAACAUCUGAAUUGCGGCGCGAACUGGUUUUCUUGAGUGCAUACGAGGUAGGCGGAAUUUGUGGUGUAGCGGUGAAAUGCUUAGAUAUCACGAAGAACUCCGAUUGCGAAGGCAGCCUACCAGGAUGUAACUGACGCUAAAGCUCGAAAGUGCGGGUAUCGAACAGGAUUAGAAACCCCAGUAGUCC